AUUGAACGCUGGCGGCAGGCCUAACACAUGCAAGUCGAACGGUAACAGGAAGAAGCUUGCUUCUUUGCUGACGGGUGGCGGACGGGUGAGUCAUGUCUGGGAAACUGCCUGAUGGAGGGGGAUAACUACUGGAAACGGUAGCUAAUACCGCAUAACGUCGCAAGACCAAAGAGGGGGACCUUCGGGCCUCUUGCCAUCGGAUGUGCCCAGAUGGGAUUAGCUAGUAGGUGGGGUAACGGCUCACCUAGGCGACGAUCCCUAGCUGGUCUGAGAGGAUGACCAGCCACACUGGAACUGAGACACGGUCCAGACUCCUACGGGAGGCAGCAGUGGGGAAUAUUGCACAAUGGGCGCAAGCCUGAUGCAGCCAUGCCGCGUGUAUGAAGAAGGCCUUCGGGUUGUAAAGUACUUUCAGCGGGGAGGAAGGGAGUAAAGUUAAUACCUUUGCUCAUUGACGUUACCCGCAGAAGAAGCACCGGCUAACUCCGUG
rnacentral:rRNA from 1 species